rnacentral:rRNA from 1 species
GUGGGGAAUAUUGGACAAUGGGCGAAAGCCUGAUCCAGCCAUGCCGCGUGUGUGAAGAAGGUCUUCGGAUUGUAAAGCACUUUAAGUUGGGAGGAAGGGCAGUAAGUUAAUACCUUGCUGUUUUGACGUUACCGACAGAAUAAGCACCGGCUAACUUCGUGCCAGCAGCCGCGGUAAUACGAAGGGUGCAAGCGUUAAUCGGAAUUACUGGGCGUAAAGCGCGCGUAGGUGGUUUUGUAAGUUGGAGGUGAAAUCCCCGGGCUCAACCUGGGAACUGCCUCCAAAACUACAUGACUAGAGUACGGUAGAGGGUAGUGGAAUUUCCUGUGUAGCGAUGAAAUGCGUAGAUAUAGGAAGGAACACCAGUGGCGAAGGCGACUACCUGGACUGAUACUGACACUGAGGUGCGAAAGCGUGGGGAGCAAACAGGAUUAGAAACCCUUGUAGUCC